GUACAAGUUUAUAAAUAACACAUAUAUUUUUUUACGAAUAAACAUAUACAUAAUUAUUGCAUACAGCAUCAGAUAACGGAGCAAUGUAGAACAUUAGAUCAUAGAAAGUGUAUACAUAUAUGACGUCAUACUAUUGGAACGAACAUCGGAGACAUCGCCCAAGUGAAGUGGCCUGUAUGACGCCACGUGACGUCACCGAAUUGCGAAGCACGAGAUACGAGUAAAGAAUAAAUUUACAGAAAUCACACCCUAAAAUUAAAGAUUCGUGCAAUUCGUAUGAUGCAGACGUUUCCAAUAAUCCAUAACAACUCAAGUCAAGAAAUAUAAGCUUUUAAAAGUACGUGUGACUUCCUUGAAAGCUUUAACAGGUCUUAACACUGAGAAGAUCUUCCAGCAUCCUUGCAGCAUCCCAGCAAAUUGUGACAUUAUCCUUUAAAGCUGUAGUGUAACCUGAAUGCUCAGGAACAGACCCUCCUUACCUUUAGAAAUGAACAAAUGAAAGAAAGAAAUCGAUAUUUCUCAAAUGAAACAGAAUGCCAUCGUACGAUAGUUGCACAUUAUGUAAUUCUAGGACAAAUAGGAUAAAUAUUUUCAUUCUUGGUAUCGUUUGUAUAGGUGUGGGCUUGAGUUUGAUGUUUUUUGUGAAAAAAACGCCAAAACCAUUCGCCGAAUCAAUAUCUGAUCAUCCAUUAAAAGUUUUAGGAAUUGUUUUAGUAAUAAUUGGUGGUGUAUUUUCUGUAAUGAUUUGUGUGCAAUGCUGGAUAAUGACUGAAAAUCCUGCAUCAUCCCUCUCUCAAACUAAUGUAACAAGUGGAAGAUCUCCAAAUCAAACUGCAGAUUGGUCUGUAUCGACUUCAACAAGAACUGAACAUCUAACAACUGACUCAACUAACAGAUUCGGUGAUUAUUCAAGUAAUCAACCGUAUGUCCUUUCCGUUCCACCUCAGAAUGUUACUUCAGUUGCUUCGAUACCUAAACCAAUUGAUUUAGAUCUUCCACCUUCUUACGAAGAAGUAAUGGGUAAUAUAAAUAGGCCUAUAUCUUGAUUUCAAACAAAUUUAGUUGAAUAUCUGAAAGAUAAGUUUGAAAAAAAAAGAGUGCCUUAAGAAACUUUUGCGAAGUGGAAAAGAUACCUUGUAAUGGAAAGAAAUGCUUCAAGAAACUGUUGCUGAUUGGAUAGACGAGUAAAAUGAGGAAAAUUGCAUUAAAAGUUUAUUGCAUACCUCAAAAUCUUGUUUACUGAAAUGUAUGAAAAUCAGUCUAAUGGGAAGAGAAGCCAGGAAAGCAAUAUUCUAUUUUAAUUUUUGAGACAAUGUAAAAAGCUCAUGGCUACUGGAAAUAUGACUAAAAAUUCUUAUUUUUGGAAAUAGAUGCCUUGAAAAACUCCUGACAUCAAUUAACUUUUCAAUGGUAUUUUUAAUGUAUGCAUGAAGAUAUAAAACAAUUGAACUUUCACAUUUUUACACCUUUAUUUUACAGAAUUUUUGAAUGUAUUCGUACAUUAAAUUUUGAAGAUUCCUUAUUUCCAACAAUGUUCCUUAUAUUACAUCAUCUUUAUUUAUUUAUUAUUUCGUAAAUAUCAUCAUUUAAUGUUUUUUUAACACAAUGUAUACGCUGUUAAUGAUGUAAAAUUUCAUUAAAACUACUUUUCAAAUGGUUUUUGUAAACAUAUAUUGAUGUAAUAUACCUUAUGUGAAUUAUGUAUAUUAAAAUGAUAUGCUAUUGAUUGUAUGAAUUGAUGUGUAUAAUAUACUCUAAACUCGAUUUAACGCAAAAGUUUAUAUAUUUUACUGUAGGGAUAAUCUUGUUACUGUAUAGUUUCUUUUUAGCAUACUGGAAGUGGAAAACUGGUUAAUUGUUAUAAGCGGUAAUGCGUUAUAUACGGGUUACAUUAUAUUUUUCGCUUAGAACACAUUAAAUAAUAACGAUAAUAUAUUUC
rnacentral:lncRNA from 1 species